rnacentral:rRNA from 1 species
CUUGACGACCAUAGAGCAUUGGAACCACCUGAUCCCAUCCCGAACUCAGUAGUGAAACGAUGCAUCGCCGAUGGUAGUGUGGGGUUUCCCCAUGU